rnacentral:rRNA from 1 species
GACCCAGACUCCUACGGGAGGCAGCAGUGGGGGAUAUUGCACAAUGGGGGAAACCCUGAUGCAGCGACGCCGCGUGGGUGAAGAAGCGCCUCGGCGCGUAAAGCCCUGUCAGCAGGGAAGAAAAUGACGGUACCUGAAGAAGAAGCCCCGGCUAACUACGUGCCAGCAGCCGCGGUAAUACGUAGGGGGCAAGCGUUAUCCGGAUUUACUGGGUGUAAAGGGAGCGUAGACGGCUGUGCAAGUCUGAAGUGAAAGCCCAGGGCUCAACCCUGGGACUGCUUUGGAAACUGUGGAGCUAGAGUGCUGGAGAGGUAAGUGGAAUUCCUAGUGUAGCGGUGAAAUGCGUAGAUAUUAGGAGGAACACCAGUGGCGAAGGCGGCUUACUGGACAGUAACUGACGUUGAGGCUCGAAAGCGUGGGGAGCAAACAGGAUUAGAUACCCCCGUA